AGCUUGCUCCCGGAUGUUAGCGGCGGACGGGUGAGUAACACGUGGGUAACCUGCCUGUAAGACUGGGAUAACUCCGGGAAACCGGAGCUAAUACCGGAUAGUUCCUUGAACCGCAUGGUUCAAGGAUGAAAGACGGUUUCGGCUGUCACUUACAGAUGGACCCGCGGCGCAUUAGCUAGUUGGUGGGGUAAUGGCUCACCAAGGCGACGAUGCGUAGCCGACCUGAGAGGGUGAUCGGCCACACUGGGACUGAGACACGGCCCAGACUCCUACGGGAGGCAGCAGUAGGGAAUCUUCCGCAAUGGACGAAAGUCUGACGGAGCAACGCCGCGUGAGUGAUGAAGGUUUUCGGAUCGUAAAGCUCUGUUGUUAGGGAAGAACAAGUGCGAGAGUAACUGCUCGCACCUUGACGGUACCUAACCAGAAAGCCACGGCUAACUACGUGCCAGCAGCCGCGGUAAUACGUAGGUGGCAAGCGUUGUCCGGAAUUAUUGGGCGUAAAGGGCUCGCAGGCGGUUUCUUAAGUCUGAUGUGAAAGCCCCCGGCUCAACCGGGGAGGGUCAUUGGAAACUGGGAAACUUGAGUGCAGAAGAGGAGAGUGGAAUUCCACGUGUAGCGGUGAAAUGCGUAGAGAUGUGGAGGAACACCAGUGGCGAAGGCGACUCUCUGGUCUGUAACUGACGCUGAGGAGCGAAAGCGUGGGGAGCGAACAGGAUUAGAUACCCUGGUAGUCCACGCCGUAAACGAUGAGUGCUAAGUGUUAGGGGGUUUCCGCCCCUUAGUGCUGCAGCUAACGCAUUAAGCACUCCGCCUGGGGAGUACGGUCGCAAGACUGAAACUCAAAGGAAUUGACGGGGGCCCGCACAAGCGGUGGAGCAUGUGGUUUAAUUCGAAGCAACGCGAAGAACCUUACCAGGUCUUGACAUCCUCUGACAACCCUAGAGAUAGGGCUUUCCCUUCGGGGACAGAGUGACAGGUGGUGCAUGGUUGUCGUCAGCUCGUGUCGUGAGAUGUUGGGUUAAGUCCCGCAACGAGCGCAACCCUUGAUCUUAGUUGC
rnacentral:rRNA from 1 species